rnacentral:SRP_RNA from 2 species
GCCGGGUGUGGUGGCUCACGCCUGUAAUCCCAGCACUUUGGGAGGCUGAGGUGGGUGGAUCACUUGAGGUCAGGAGUUCAAGACCAGCCUGGCCAACACAGUGAGAUCCCAUCUCUA